rnacentral:rRNA from 1 species
AUGAACGCUGGCGGCGUGCCUAAUACAUGCAAGUCGAGCGAACAGACGAGGAGCUUGCUCCUCUGAUGUUAGCGGCGGACGGGUGAGUAACACGUGGAUAACCUACCUAUAAGACUGGGAUAACUUCGGGAAACCGGAGCUAAUACCGGAUAACAUGUUGAACCGCAUGGUUCAACAGUGAAAGACGGUCUUGCUGUCACUUAUAUAUGGAUCCGCGCCGCAUUAGCUAGUUGGUAAGGUAACGGCUUACCAAGGCAACGAUGCGUAGCCGACCUGAGAGGGUGAUCGGCCACACUGGAACUGAGACACGGUCCAGACUCCUACGGGAGGCAGCAGUAGGGAAUCUUCCGCAAUGGGCGAAAGCCUGACGGAGCAACGCCGCGUGAGUGAAGAAGGUCUUCGGAUCGUAAAACUCUGUUAUUAGGGAAGAACAAAUGUGUAAGUAACUAUGCACGUCUUGACGGUACCUAAUCAGAAAGCCACGGCUAACUACGUG